rnacentral:lncRNA from 1 species
CUGAUUUUACUCUCUAUUAUCUUUGUUUGUACCCUCUGAAUAGAAUAACUGAUUGUACCGAAAAGGAUUUAGUAUAUAUCACUGCGAGUUAUGAUGCAGGAUAGCAGAAAAAGGUCCCGGCCGAUUGUAUAACAGCAUGACAGGUCAUGGGGCAGCAAUCGAUUAUCACUCUAGAAAGGUAAUCGCUUAUAGAACGAGAACAAAAUGAUGCAUACCUUGCGAAAAACUCUUCCCUAGAUCUGAACACGACUGUCGCAUAAAUUUUAAUGGUUUUGCAAAAGCGAUGGAAGCCGAAAUUGCUGUCGAAAUAUUCUUGAGAAACUCAAAUUUCGAUACCGUGAAUGUAAAAUUGGGCACGCUUAUUGAAGACGACGAUUCCAGCACAAUCGCUCGCAUGCGACGAGAGGCGUAUCAUGAAAUUAAAAAAUGGACGGGCAAGAACUAUGUAAUCUGCAAGCUGUCCAAGACUUUGUAUGCCUUGCAUUUAAGAUCUCUACCCACUGAAAUUAUCGAAUAUUUCAAAUAUUGCCUAGGGUGUGUACUUAAAAAGAACAAAAACGAUCCGGACGCAACAAGGAAUGGUAUUCUCAGUAUCGUACCUCAUGCGUUUGAUGAUCAUUCACGUUGCAAUCGAAAUUGGAGCAAAUAUCAGGACAAUCCUGAGAAAUACAAGCAUACCUGGAGACAGAGGGUUGACGGAUACAGAAUUGAAAGCUGUUCUCGAAAAAGUUUUUGCAUCAUUUGCUAAUCAAGCGAAAAAGCUUGCACCGUGUGGAUCUUCACAGGCCAACAAGUCUCUUAACAGAAUUAUAACAAGCACUGCUUCCAAGUCUACCCACUACAGCUCAUCUUCAAACGAUAUUCAGGUCGCCACAGCUAUAGUUAAAAAAAAACAUCGACGAUUCACCCAUUGGUCGAAUAAAUGAUAGAAUGAAGUCUUCACCAUGUUCAAAAACUUCCGAUGGAUUUCAACAACAAAAAGAUCGUAUACAAACACUUCGGUCAAACAUUAUAAAAUACGUACAAUUCAAGAGACAACGUCGUCAAUUGAUGAAAGCGAAAUCUCAAAAUACAACUGACUCAAGAAAGGAAGAAUAACCUACGAUUUGGCAUGUGGGUUGGAUGUUGGCAUAGACUUCGUCGAUGCACCUAUAAUGGAGCCCGAAAAAAAUGUUAUUCCACCUACUGCAAAAGCUGUUUUUUUCGACCUGGAGACGAGAGGUUUGGGAAGAAAUUGUGAAUUCCUUCAAAUUCCAUCCGCAAGAUUCUAGGACGCCGAAUAUAAUGCAUACAUUAUGCCUCUUCAUGGCAUAGCACGCAGCACAUCAGCAGUUUCUAGAUUCCAAAUUGAAAAUGUCGCAAUACAAAGUUCCUCGUCUCCGAAAAGGCACCAUUUCAUCUAAAUUUCCUUGGACGGAUUUAAUAAAAUUACAGGAAAAUGUGUUGAUUGUUGAUGAAAAGGCAGAUCCCGUUAAGUCUCCUGUUCCUCUUGACAAUGAUGUGGUUACUUCCUGCGAGCUUACGCAUGAAACAAUAAAGCUGCUGGAAGAUGUAUUGAUCGAUAACAAUGCAGAUUCUAUUGAAACUCUCGCUGCUGUUCCUCUUGAUGCUCUUGACAAAGAUACUGUGGAUCACAGCGUUACUGACUGAGAGCUUGCACAUGAAAAAUUAUUUGCAUCUGAAUGUGCUGAAACUGAGAUAUCGAAGAGAGCAUGUGAUCCUGUGUCAUCUAAAUCCAGUUCAGAAAAUGUCACUGUUUCUCCACCUCCAGUCACGUUUGAGCAAUUGAUGGUGUCAGAUAUAUCAAUGCCACCUGGAUGGAAUAAGCAAACCAUAACUCACGAGAAUACGAGAUUAAUCGAUUUUUAUAUUACCAGAUGCGUCAAGAUCGAAGAAAAAUUUUUAGCGCUUGCAUGUCAAUUCGGAAAGAAGAUGUCGAAACAUUGUAAAACAUAAAACUAUAUCUUUCGAAACUAUAUCUGCGAUUUUUCAAUGAAAUAUAUUGUUGGUAAUAUUCGA